rnacentral:lncRNA from 1 species
GGACAGCCGGAGCCCGGCCCCACCUUGCCGAAGUCCUGGACGUCGAAGAGGUCGAAGGCGCCGAAGAGCCGGUGCUUGGGCAGCCCGAACUUGUCGGCGCAGGCGGUCAGGAAGGUGCGGAUGUUCCUCAGGCACAGGAACUGCGGUGGCACCAUCACCAGGGUCACCAGGGUCACCAGGGUCACCAGGGUCACCGGUGUCACCAGUGUCACCAGGGUCACCAGGGUCACCAUCACCAGGGUGACCUCUGUCAGCACUGGCACCCCCCGUUGUCACCAUCAAAAUCAGGGUCUUUGUGUCUCCAUGGUUGUGACCACCGUUGUCACCGAUGGUGACGUCAUCUCUGUCACCGAUGUCGUCAUUGUCAACCCCGUGAACAUUGCCACCACCACCAUCAUCAUCAUCAUCAUCAUCAUCACCCCAGGUAUCUCAAUCACGCCAGUAUUGUCAUUGUCAUCAUCAACGUCACCAUCACCAACAACCCCAAUAUCCUCAACAUCAUCAUCAUCAUCAUCAUCAUCAUCAUCCCCAUUGUCGCCAUCACAGUCACCACUCUCAUCCACACCCAUCUUUGUCACCAUCAAUGUCACCAUCACCAACAACGCCAAUGUCCCCAUCAAUGUCCCCAUCAUCUCCACAACCCUAAUCCACAUCCAUCAUUGUCACCGUCAUUGUCACCACCAAUGUCACCACCAUCACCAUCCUCCUUGUCCCCAUCACCACCCUCAUCCUCACCCACCAUUGUCACCAUCAAUGUUCCCAUCAUCAUCCCCAUUGUCCCCAUCAUGGUCACCACCCUCAUCCUCACUCAUCAUUGUCACCACCAAUGUCACCAUCACCGGCAAUCCCAGUGUCCCCAUCCUCAUUGUCCCCAUUGCCUCCACCACCCUCAUCCACACCUAUCAUUGUCACCAUCAACGUCCCCACCAUUGUCACCAUCAAUGUCCCCAUCAUCAUCCUCAUUGUCCUCAUCGUUGCCAUCAGCCUCAUCCACAGCCACCAUUGUCACCAUCAAUGUCACCAUCCCCAUUGUCCCCAUCACCCACCAUU